rnacentral:rRNA from 1 species
AGUGAACGCUGGCGGUAGGCCUAACACGUGCAAGUCGAACGGCAGCACAGUAAGAGCUUGCUCUUACGGGUGGCGAGUGGCGGACGGGUGAGGCAUACAUCGGAAUCUACUUUUUCGUGGGGGAUAACGUAGGGAAACUUAUGCUAAUACCGCAUACGACCUGCGGGUGAAAGCAGGGGAUCUUCGGACCUUGCGCGAUUGAAUGAGCCGAUGUCGGAUUAGCUAGUUGGCGGGGUAAAGGCCCACCAAGGCGACGAUCCGUAGCUGGUCUGAGAGGAUGAUCAGCCACACUGGAACUGAGACACGGUCCAGACUCCUACGGGAGGCAGCAGUAGGGAAUAUUGGACAAUGGGCGCAAGCCUGAUCCAGCCAUACCGCGUGAGUGAAGAAGGCCUUCGGAUUGUAAAGCCCUUUUGUUGGGAAAGAAAAGCAGCAGGUUAAUACCCCGCUGUUCUGACGGUACCCAAAGAAUAAGCACCGGCUAACUUCGUG